rnacentral:rRNA from 1 species
AGGACGAACGCUGGCGGCGUGCUUAACACAUGCAAGUCGAGCGGUGAUCCUCCUUCGGGAGGUGAUCAGCGGCGAACGGGUGAGUAACACGUGGGCAACCUGCCCCCUCACACUGGGAUAAACCUCGGGAAACCGGGGCUAAUACCGGAUACGACCUCGAGCGGCAUCUCUUGAGGUGGAAAGCUCCGACGGUGAGGGAUGGGCCCGCGGCCUAUCAGCUUGUUGGUGGGGUAAUGGCCUACCAAGGCGACGACGGGUA